rnacentral:tRNA from 1 species
GCCCCCGUAGCUCAGAGGAUAGAGCGUCGGUUUCCUAAACCGUGCGUCGGAUGUUCGAAUCAUCUCGGGGGUGCCA